rnacentral:rRNA from 1 species
UGGGGAAUUUUGGACAAUGGGCGAAAGCCUGAUCCAGCAAUGCCGCGUGUGUGAAGAAGGCCUUCGGGUUGUAAAGCACUUUUGUCCGGAAAGAAAUCCUUGGCUCUAAUACAGUCGGGGGAUGACGGUACCGGAAGAAUAAGCACCGGCUAACUACGUGCCAGCAGCCGCGGUAAUACGUAGGGUGCAAGCGUUAAUCGGAAUUACUGGGCGUAAAGCGUGCGCAGGCGGUUUGCUAAGACCGAUGUGAAAUCCCCGGGCUCAACCUGGGAACUGCAUUGGUGACUGGCAGGCUAGAGUAUGGCAGAGGGGGGUAGAAUUCCACGUGUAGCAGUGAAAUGCGUAGAGAUGUGGAGGAAUACCGAUGGCGAAAGGCAGCCCCCUGGGCCAAUACUGACGCUCAUGCACGAAAGCGUGGGGGAGCAAAACAGGAUUAGAUACCCU